rnacentral:miRNA from 1 species
UGCAACACUCACACCACGGCAA